ACUCAAUCAAAUGGGUUGAAAUCUUACUAGAUUUGUCUCCCAACUUUUUGUACCCACUAGACCAGGACAAAGACAGGUGGUCUGGACCAAAGAAUGCCUCAAUUCAACAGUCAUUAAUUAAUACAUAAGAGAUUGAGCUGACAUGAACAGAUACUUGUUCUGUGCAAGGCCUCAUUUGCAUUGGUUCCUCUGCUGAGAAAAGACACCGCAUGGGUUCUCUGAAGCAUGGGACUAUUGGAAGGCCAGUAUGAGGCAUUAACUGAGCUGCCAGCUCCACCAAACACCUGACUGAUCCACAGGGGAGUGCGACUCUAGCAGCUCUUCUGGAAGCUGUGCUCUGGCUGGAUCUUUAUUGUGCAGGGCUCUACAGGAGAGGCUGGGACUCUAGAACACCUGUCACAGUGGGAAGAAGAAAUCCUGACUCUGAUCUCCCUCCUCUGCCUCUCCUGUCCUGAAGCGUCAUCUUGCAGAGGGUGCCCUAGGAGUGUGUGAGAAGAAUAAACUGAAAUGCAGAGACUGGAGAAUGAAGAACUGCCCACUGUAGAAGAUGAUCAGGAGCAAGACGGUUUAAGGAAUCUGAAUGUGUACAAGUCCAUGGGAACAGACGAGAUGUAUCUGAGAGUCCUGAGGAAGCUGGUGAAUAAAAUUGUUAAACCACUGUCCAUCAUAUCUGAGAAUACAUGGCAAUCUGGUGAAGUUCCCACUGGCUGGAAAAGUGGGGGGGAAAAAAAAAAACAAAACAAUUUUUAAAAAGGAAAGAAAGAAGAGAUGGCUUUGAAGAACUAUAGCUCAAUCUGUCUCAUCUCUGUGCCUGGCAAGAUCAUGGAAUAGAUCCUCCUGAAAAGAGUAUGCUAAAGCACAUGGAAAAAAAAAAAA